CUGGGUUUGACAUGCACAGGACGCCGGCAGAGAUGUCGGUUCCCUUGUGGCCUGUGUGCAGGUGGUGCAUGGCUGUCGUCAGCUCGUGUCGUGAGAUGUUGGGUUAAGUCCCGCAACGAGCGCAACCCUUGUCCUAUGUUGCCAGCGGGUUAUGCCGGGGACUCGUAGGAGACUGCCGGGGUCAACUCGGAGGAAGGUGGGGAUGACGUCAAGUCAUCAUGCCCCUUAUGUCCAGGGCUUCACACAUGCUACAAUGGCCGGUACAAAGGGCUGCGAUGCCGUGAGGUGGAGCGAAUCCUUUCAAAGCCGGUCUCAGUUCGGAUCGGGGUCUGCAACUCGACCCCGUGAAGUCGGAGUCGCUAGUAAUCGCGGAUCAGCAACGCUGCGGUGAAUACGUUCCC
rnacentral:rRNA from 1 species